UAAUCUUUCACUUAUCUGAUUCGUUCAAUUAGGGAUUAGCCGAUUAGGGAAUUAGAAUUUAGAAAGGGAGAAAGACAGAACGUCAGAAACGACGAUAGUUUCUUUCAGCGAGAAGACCUUUGCUGUGAGAAUACUAACAAUAUAUAAUCUUAGAAGUUAUGGAUGGUUACCCCUGCUUAAUCUUCAUUUUUUUGUGCUUUACAGAUAUCCUGUUGAUGAAGCUGCCACUGUGGCUAUAUCUACUGUCAAAGAAUUUGGCAGUGACCUCAAAGAGGUAUUAUCUGCUUAUGAAUUUUGGUUUGCUCAGAGCUUGAUUGCAAUAUAGGUCACAUAUCUGUUGAGACUAAAAUACUUCAUAGUGUUCUUAUCUUAUGUUGGUGAAAUUGUUCGCCUGAAGUUGAUAAUGGUGGAUGUGGCUCAACUGUUACUAAUAGUAUGUUGGCAUCUUGUUCCUAGUUUUUGUUUUCUUUUUGCUGAUAAAUGUAUAUAUGUAAUUACUAGCGUCUUAAUAGUACCCAAGAAAGUGAUUGUAUAUAAUGAUUUGUGAAGGCUUAAGACCUCCAUGAAGCAGCCUGAGCCUCGCCCUUUACUGCAUACUAUUCUGAUUGAGACGAACAAUUUAAUAACUUAAAUAGUUAAAUGUCAUAGUAAAACAUAAUGUUUAUAGCCUUGUAAUAUAAAAGUCACAUGGUCUGAAUUUUCUCCUGUAACUUCAACUCUAUGUAUUUCCCGUGUACUGGUCUUAACAACUUUCUUAUAUACUUUAGUAUGAUUGCACAUUUGGAACUUGGAAAUUCUUUUCAUUCGCUAUGAUCUUACGUGGAAGUUCUGGAACAGCUUGUGUGCUCUUAGUUCAACUUUUAUUCCCUUAAAACUAGAAGCUGUAGAAUCUGCAGAAUUGAAUAUAAAAGAGCCAUGUCUAGAUGUUGAAACACUGCAAUUGCUUGAGUAAUUAGAAGAUGCAGAAUCUGCAGGCGUCAGCUGCACUCCUUAGAAUUGUGAAUUGUCAAAGAAAAUAAUGGUGCUUAACUACUUACUGUUAGCGACAACGUUGUCAAAGAGGGCUAACCAAGUUAGUUUGAAUUAUGCACUGUUGCACUCCUUAGUCCUUAAUCAUUAGUUUUGCUUAUUUAGCGAUUAUUAAAUCGAAACCGUACCGAACCAAAAUAAGAAAUACCGAACCGUACCGAAAUAAUUUGGUACAGUAUUUGGUAUACACAAUUGAUAAAUCGAAUACCGAAAUACCGAACCGAAAUUCAUAAAUACCGAACCGAAAUACCGAAUGCCCACCCCUAGGUUUCGGCGUUAUUUGUGGAAUUUUAAAGUUUAAAAGUUCUUCAGGCUUGAAUCCAGGUGUAAUUGGUGUUUUGAUGUUGUCUUGAGUGAUUCAAAGGUUCGACUAAGUUCGCAUAGGGUUAUAUAACUUGUUGGUAUGAUUGGUUGAGGUCCCGGAGGCCUCAGGUUUAUUUCGGGUGGUUAACGGCUUGAUGGGAGUUGAGGAAUUGCAGCUGAAGCUGCUGCUACUGGUGUAACCGCACCUGCGGAGUGGGAACCACAGGUGUGAGCCCGUAGUAGCGAAGGAGGAGCCGCAUAUGCGGCUAAGGAGGAUCUGGGAAAAGGACGCAUGUGCGAUGAAAUUCCCGCACAUGCGAUGGCCGUAAAAGCAGAUUUAGGGGCGCAUGUGCGAGUUUGGACCGCAUAUGCGAUGUAGUUCCCGCACCCGCGAAGAGCGCAGAUGCGGUCACUUGACCGUAGGAGCGGAGGCAAUGUGUAGGGAUUUUUCCACAGAAGCGUGGCCUUGCCCGCAGAUGCGGCUCCGCAGAUGUGGAAAUGGAGCCGCAGGUGCGAGAAGUCUGGGCAGAACCUAUAAAUACAACACUUUGAGAUUUUUCACCAUUUUCAUCAUUUUUGAGCUCGAAAUUUGGGGAUUUUGAGAGAGAUUUCGGAGUAAUCACUGAGGUAAGUUCCUUGUGCCUAUUUAUCUUCAAUAAUGGUGUUUCCCUACUGAUUUUUCACCUAGUUGGUGAGUGUUUGAGGUGAGAUUUGGGACAUUAGGGCUUGGGAAUUGGAGAGUGACUUUUGGGGUUUUGGAGGGGCAAUUGAGGUCAGAUUUUGAUAAAUUUGGUAUGGUUAGACUCAUGAGUGAAUGAGCUCUCGGGUUUUGUGACUUUCAUUAGGUUUCGAGACGUGGGCCCGAUUGAGUCGAUUUUGAAUUUUGGGCUAUAUUUUAGUAGUUUUCUCGUGUAAUUGAUCCUUUUAACCAAUAUUUAUUAUCUCGUACUAUUUGUGGCUAGAUUCAGGGCAUUUGGAGGCCGAUUCGAGAGGCAAAGGCAUUUCGGAGUAGGAUUUCUGUGCGGUUGAAGUAAGUAACAGUCUUAAAUCUGGUUUUGAGGGUAUGAAACCCCGAGAAUUGGUAUAAUGUGAAUAUUUGGAGGUCACGCACAUGCUAGGUGACGAGUGUGCGAGCGUGCACCGUGAGGGAUUGUGACUUGGUCCGUCCCGUUAGAGUAUAAAGUCGAAUAGCCAUUGUUAUUACUUGUUUUCCUUGUGUUUGAGCAAUUGACUGCCUUUCAUGUUUGAAACCAUGCUUAGGCCAUAUGAUAUCACUUUUGGGACCCGCAGCGGUCGUAUACUUGUUGAAUUGACUGCUAAUUGUUGUCUUGUACCCAGUCAGUCUUACUUGUGUGUUAUAUCUCUGUUUCCUCUCAUUUCAUGUUGAUACUUAUUGUAUUCUCUGCUUGGACUGGUUAUUAUGAUAUUUUGUGAGCCCGAGGGGCUGGAGAGGUUAGUGACUGAGAUAGGGCUUGAGUGCCGAGCUGCGAGCUGUGAAGUAUAUGGAUCGGGUUGCACGCCGCAAUAAUAUUGGAUCGGGUUUCACGCCGCAACAAUAUUGGACCGGGUUGCAUGCCGCAAUAAUAUUGGAUUGGGCUGCGCAUCGUAGUAAUAUAGCGCUUGGGCUGAAGGAGCCCCUUCGGAGUCUAUACACCCUCAAUGAGCGCAUAUACCUAUUGAGAGUGUGUAUUGAGGGCCGAGAGCCGAGAGUAUGAGCUGUUGAGAUGAGUUGAGUGACUGCUUCCUUGAGAGGUUGUACUUGCUUUUAUUUAUUAUUGCACUUAGUUGCUAUCUGAUGUUGUUGUAAAAUUUCUGGAAGAUUCAUAUCUGUUUUACUUGAGCUCGAACUGAUUUGACUUAUACCACCGAAUUUGAAAAUAUGUUCACUCUUUACUGAAAACUUUUGAAAUGAUCUGUAUUAUUAUAGUUCGUCACUGUUUCUCAGUUCCUUAUUUAAUUCUGUUACUUGCUGAGUUGGUUGUACUCAUGCUACACCAUUUACUUCAUGUGCAGAUCCAGGUGUGUACGGUUCUGGCGGUCGCUGAGUUCGUGCGUGUGCUGAUUAUCGGAGACUUACGAGGUAGCUGCCGGCGUCCGCAAUCCUUGUUUCUCCUUUCUUAUUAUCUUUUCUCUCUUGUAUUGGCAUUUGGCACAGACUGUAGUAGACUCUGUUUCUAUAUUGGUUAUUAGAUACACAUGACUUAGGGAUACCUCGAUGUCGGGCUAUCAUUCCGCACUUAUGUUUUGGGGGUUUUCCCGGUUAUUGUGUAAACCUUCAGUUAGUUUAAUUUCUUUAGCUCACUUCUGUUAUAUAUUGAAAGCAUAUUGAGAAUGUCGGCUUGCCUAGUUCCACGAUAGGCGCCAUCACGACUGAUUUGGUAUUUGGGUCGUGACAUAAAUUGUGUAGAGAUUUUUUUAUUUCGAAAUUGUUCGAUGUUAGUAAACAUUGUCGUUAUUUCAGUUAAUGUUAGACUUACCUAGUUUUAGAUACUAGGUUCCAUCACGACUCCUUUGGAGGGAUUUUGGGUUGUGACAAGUUGGUAUCAG
rnacentral:lncRNA from 1 species